UCGAGGGGCAGCAUUUCAGUUUGCUUGCAAACUGGAGAUGGCGACCGGCGCACGGGUGAGUAACACGUAUCCAACCUGCCGAUAACUCGGGGAUAGCCUUUCGAAAGAAAGAUUAAUACCCGAUAGUAUAAUUAGACCGCAUGGUCUUAUUAUUAAAGAAUUUCGGUUAUCGAUGGGGAUGCGCUCCAUUAGGCAGUUGGUGAGGUAACGGCUCACCAAACCUUCGAUGGAUAGGGGUUCUGAGAGGAAGGUCCCCCACAUUGGAACUGAGACACGGUCCAAACUCCUACGGGAGGCAGCAGUGAGGAAUAUUGGUCAAUGGGCGCAGGCCUGAACCAGCCAAGUAACGUGAAGGAUGACUGCCCUAUGGGUUGUAAACUUCUUUUAUAUGGGAAUAAAGUUUUCCACGUGUGGAAUUUUGUAUGUACCAUAUGAAUAAGGAUCGGCUAACUCCGUGCCAGCAGCCGCGGUAAUACGGAGGAUCCGAGCGUUAUCCGGAUUUAUUGGGUUUAAAGGGAGCGUAGGUGGACAGUUAAGUCAGUUGUGAAAGUUUGCGGCUCAACCGUAAAAUUGCAGUUGAUACUGGCUGUCUUGAGUACAGUAGAGGUGGGCGGAAUUCGUGGUGUAGCGGUGAAAUGCUUAGAUAUCACGAAGAACUCCGAUUGCGAAGGCAGCUCACUGGACUGCAACUGACACUGAUGCUCGAAAGUGUGGGUAU
rnacentral:rRNA from 1 species